AUUUAUUUGACACACGUAGCUACAGUACUUUGCAGAAUGAACACAAAAAAUAACAGAGAAUUGUCAAAGGUAAAUAUAAAUUCUCAGCUGCCAGCAGUGUACACUGAAUCCACAAAAUUAUAACCUGCCUCUGCUACCAAAACAGCUUUGACCCAUCAAAGCAUGAACUCCACAGACUUCUGAAGGGGUCCUGUAGUAAAGGUAUCAAGAUGUUAGCAGCAGAUCCUUUAAGUUCUCUAAAUUGCGAGGUGGGGCCUCCAUGGAUCGGACUUGUUUUUCCAGCACAUCCCACAGAUGCUCAAUCAGAUUGCGAUCUUCGGACUUUGGAAGCCAAAUCAGCACCUGGAAUCUUCGUGUUCCUUAAGCAUUCCUGAACAAUAUUUGCAGUAUGGCAGUGGGUAUUAUCCUGCUGAAAGAAGCCAUAAGGGAAUAAAGUUGCCAUGAAGAGGAAUGUGUGGUCUGUAACAAUAUUUAGGUAGGUGGUACGGAUCAAAGUAACAUCCACAUGAAGGCCAGAUCAUCACACUACCACAGGAAAACUACCAUCUUCCCAUAUUGUAUCCUGCUGCCAUCUCUUCCCCAGAUGAAUAAAACAAAUGCGCCUAGUCAUCCACAUAAUUAUCAGACCUGGCUACUGUCUUCCAUUGGUCCAUGGUCAUAUUGUGACACUCAUGUGCUCACUGUAGGUGUUUUCAGUGGUGAGCAGGGUUCAGCAUGGACACUCUGACCGGUCAUGCAGACUCAAAUGCAGCGAUGAGCAAUGCACCCUUUUAUCAUAACAAACAUGUCAAAUUAGGUCACAGGGGCCAGUCUUCCCUCCCAACAUGCAGCAGAGAGCUUAAGCACCCAUGACCCUGUCGCUGGUUCAGAGGUUGACCCCCUUUGGACCUCUUGUGGUAGGUUCUACCAACACUCCACAAGUCCUGCUGUUCUGGAGAUUCUCUGACGAAGACAUCUAGCUAUUACAGUUCAGUCCUUGUCAAAGUCACUUAGAUCCUCACUCUCACACUGUUUUUCCUCCUUCCAACAUCAAUUUCCAACUGUUCACUUGCAGUACCUUGUACAUUCCACAUCUCCACAGGUGCCAGGGUAAUGAGACAAUCACUGUUAGUCACUUUUCCUGUUAGUAGUUUUAAUGUUUUAGUUACAGUUCUAUUGUGACCAAUUAUGGCAUUGAAACACUACAUACAUUGUCUGUAAAUAAGUAAUUUUUACCAUAGUCCUACUAUACAACAACAUAAUCACAGGGCACAUUUUCCUAAAUAAUAAGUACUUUCAUACUUUCAAAAUAAAUGCCAUUAAAAUAAAAUCACAAUCAAGUCAGGCAUAUGAAUUGUAAAGGAUGUGCUGCUCCUUGCAAAGAUGAACUCUCCAACUAAUUUGAAGCAACAGGGGAGAUGUGAUCGCUAUUGUUUCAGUAAAACAUUGCACUUAUAGAGAGAGCUUCGGCCUCUCCAACAGCAUUCUACACUAACAUUCAGAUCAAGAACACCAACUUAGAAAGAGGUAAAAGGGAUCACGUAACAGCAGCAGCUCCAGGACUACUGGCUGAAGCAGGGAUAAAUGCCAAUAUUGCACAAAAAUUAUAAACUAAAAAUAUUAUACUCAGAAUUAUUGAACAAAUGUUUUGCCUGGGCAAUUAUUUUUUUCCCAAACACAACCAGUAUUAUGGCUUAUUUUACUUUUCUGGUACAUUUUGCUUAUUUACUUGUAACUGCAGAAAAAACAAGAACAUGCACACGGACUUUACUCUCUGGCAGUGCCAACCUGAAAUAGUUCAUGUUAGCCGUGCCGAGUUUGUUCUAUAUUCAGUAUUCACCAAUUACAUCAUUUGGCCUGAUCAACAUGUGAUGAUGAGUGUUACUCAAUAACGAGUUCAUGGGUUGUUGCCUCUUCGAUAUUGACCAUCAGGUCCACCAGCCACUUCGGAAACUGCCCCUCCUUGGAAACCAGUGGUUGAAGAGGUGAAUAAAAUGCAAUAAUUGACAAUUUGAAAUCUAUAACAUCUUUGCUCAUAAUAAAUACUCACAACCAACGUCUUGGAGCUUUGCCUUUUCUUCUGCUUCGGUGGUGUAGGUGAUGUGUGUUCUUGCCAUCUAGUCCUGGUGACCUU
ensembl:lncRNA